rnacentral:tRNA from 1 species
UUAAUCGAAACCAAAAAAGAGGUAUAUUACUGUUAAUAAUAUUAUUGAAAUAAUUUUCCGAUUAAA